UGUCGCUUUCAUGAGCAAGACUACUCUCAUAUGCCGAAUAAGACUUAUCUUCUAAGGCAAACAUGAGUUCCGGGAAUCUCGGGGAACGACCCCCAGAUAGACGUAAAACUGCGAGAAAGCCGAAAGACCGAGACAUCCUGCCAGUACUGAGCAAGAUGACCUGCGUGCUGAUUGGUUUGUUUACAACGAGCGAAGCUCCGGAGCAAAGAGGCAAACAUGGCCGACAGCACUCACUGAAACAGCCAAGGUGGAAAUACUAUGGAGACAGGUGUUGAACAGCAUAUUUGAGCCUGAAUCAAAGGAAGAAUCUGAAAUAGAGGAGCAACCAGUCGCCCAUAGAUUGGAAAUGACUACUUCAGAGUGCUAAGUUUUGUCAUUUACUUGAGUUUGCCACUCGUAGCCCAGUUAGCUAGCUGUAAUACUCGCACGUUAGUUAGUGUCGUAGACUAAGCUAAACAUUGUAUUAGGUUCGUUUUUAGCAUUGUAAGCAACAGAAGUUAUUCAUUUGCACACAAACAAAUGUUUUACAACUUGUACCCUUUUUUUUGUCAAGAUGUCCAGUUAGAAACUAGCUGAAAAGUUUGUAGCCCGUCGUGGGCAGUUCAGGCUAUGCUGUAGUGAAAGGAGUGCUGCUUGCAAGGAAAGUACUCGUUUUAGUCAGUAAGUAUAUUCUCCUGGUGAAUAGGUCAUCUGAUUAGGAGUUACAUACAUACAUUAUUGUAGUGGUAAUAUGCGAUCUUACAACAGGAUGUCCAGUUAGCUGGGCAGGAGCUCUGUGCAGUUCGUAGGCUAUAACGUUAUUGCUGAAGUGAAACGAGUAGCCUACUGCUCGCGUCAAUGAAAAUAUUACGUUUGUGUCAGUAGGUCUAAUGUACUCGUUUAACUACUAUCCUGCUGAUUAAGUCAUCUGAUUAUCGAGAUUUUUACGUUCUUUCCAUGUAGUAAUGUAUGAUCUUACAACGGGACGUCCAGUUAGCUGGGCAGGAGCUCUGUGCAGUUUGUAGCCUAUGGCUGAAGUGAAACGAGGUCAACGAAAAUAUUACUAGGCCAAUUUGUGUCAAUGAUAAACUUUAUUUCUUUUUUUUUUUUCAACAAUCGUCCAGUGAUACUCUGAUGUAAAAUAUAAAAAAAUAAAUAGUAAAAAAAAAUUGCUUUUCCACCCUGUUCUCGUUGCAGGCAAUGAAGUGACUUGGCCUACAGGUCUUUUGUGAGCAGGAGCUGGGGUUUCCUUAGAAGAAGCGUCCGUGUCAUGAUCCCCUUGUGUGUGGUGCUACGCAUAUGGAGGGAACUUCCGGAUACUUCAGGGCAGUACGUUGGAUUCAGACCCCUUUUCGACUGAACCGCGUGACACAUGUUCAGCAACAGCAUCCUCCAUGGAAGGUCUGUCUAGCUGAGCACACAAGUCCUGGGGCACAGGAAUCCGCUGGACGGCAUCCCAAUAAGGAAGAGGGUCUUUGAUGAUCUCGAAGAGGACAAGAAAAAGGACUUAUAUUGGAUACUGUAAUACAGUGCAUUGUAGGCUGUAUAUUGUAUAAUAAACAAAUUGUAUGACCCUGAA